rnacentral:SRP_RNA from 1 species
GCCAGGCACAGUGGCGCGUGCCUGUAGUCCCAGCUACUCGGGAGGCUGAGGUGGGAGGAUCGCUUGAGCCCAUGGGUUCUAGGCUGUAGUGCGCUAUGCUGAUCGGGUGUCUGCACUAAGUUCAGCAUCAAUAUGGUGACCUCCCAGGAGGAGGGGACCACCAGGUUGCCUAAGGAGGGGUGAACUGGACCACAUAGGAAAUGGAGCAGGUCAAAACUCCCGUGCUGAUCAGCAGUGGGAUCGAGCCUGUGAAUAGCCACUACACUCCAGCCUGGGCAACAUAGCGAGACCCCGUCUCU